rnacentral:rRNA from 1 species
AAUUUUGGACAAUGGGGGUACCCCUGAUCCAGCCAUCUCGCGUGUAUGAUGAAGGCCUUAGGGUUGUAAAGUACUUUUGGCAGAGAAGAAAAGGUAUCUCCUAAUACGAUCUACUGCUGACGGUAUCUGCAUAAUAAGCACCGGCUAACUACGUGCCAGCAGCCGCGGUAAUACGUAGGGUGCAAGCGUUAAGCGGAAUUACUGGGCGUAAAGCAUGUGUAGGAGGUUAGGAAAGAAAGAUGUGAAGUCCCAGGGCUCAACCUUGGAACUGCAUUUUUAACUGCCGAGCUAGAGUAUGUCAGAGGGGGGUAGAAUUCCACGUGUAGCAGUGAAAUGCGUAGAUAUGUGGAGGAAUACCGAUGGCGAAGGCAGCCCCCUGGGAUAAUACUGACGCUCAGACACGAAAGCGUGGGGAGCAAACA